CUUAACCUCGUUGCUUUCGCCACAUUGCUUGCCUUUGAUCUUCCAAACCCAAUAGCGAUAUCUUCCUCUCCAGCUUAACAACCUCCUCCUCCUACUUCUUCUUCUUCUUCUUCAACAAUGGCAAGUGCUGCUUUUGCUAAUUCAUUGUUUACUACUUCUUCUUCGUCUUCUUCUACUGCUCUUGGUUCUCGACCAACUAGUAAUGCCUUGGUUACAGCUCGUGUUUCAUUUCCCAAUUCUAGAUCUCAUUUUUUUUCUAUCCAGUUGAAGGAGAAGAAGAAUUCUAGCUAUUUCACUACCCAUUGUUCCCUUAAUGAUGCUUCUGCUGCUCCUAAAGAUCCAAAAGAAGAAGAAACUCCAAUUGAACUAAAAUACCCGGCUUAUCCUACUGUGAUGGACAUCAAUCAGAUUCGUGAGAUUUUACCCCACCGGUUUCCUUUUCUUCUUGUGGAUAGAGUGAUUGAGUACACUCCAGGAGUUUCAGUUGUUGCCAUAAAGAAUGUCACGAUAAAUGACAAUUUCUUUCCUGGACAUUUUCCUGAGAGGCCAAUUAUGCCGGGUGUUCUGAUGGUUGAGGCAAUGGCACAAGUUGGUGGCUUGGUCAUGCUGCAACCAGAAGUUGGAGGACUCUCGUGACAAUUUCUUUUUUGCUGGGAUCGACAAAGUAAGAUUUAGAAAACCAGUAAUUGCAGGUGACACUUUAGUUAUGAGAAUGACGCUUGUCAAGCUGCAGAAACGCUUUGGAAUAGCAAAGAUGGAAGGAAAAGCUUAUGUUGGAGGUGAUGUUGUUUGCGAGGGUGAGUUUUUGAUGGCCAUGGGUAGUGAAUAAUCUGCUGAGUUUUAAUAUUUCUUGCAGUUACUUGUUGCUUUUAUCCCCUUUCCACCCUUUUUUUUCAUUUCUAAAAGUUCUGUUAUCAUUUUGGUAAAGGGAAGGGGGGUUGGGAGAGAGAUCUCAUUAUAUUUGGAUUUGAUAAUCUUAUGACUCUGAUAGAAACUUGGUGUUAGAUUUGAUGCUAGAAAGAGCAACUGUUCCUUCCAUCUCAGGCAAAACGUAAGUCUUGUAAUCUCCUGUUUCUUUUUGUUUUGUUGAGCAUGUGAAAUAUGUCGUAUGCUUGUUUUGUGGUG
rnacentral:misc_RNA from 1 species